AUUGAACGCUGGCGGCAGGCUUAACACAUGCAAGUCGAACGGAAACGCUAGAAGCUUGCUUCUAGGCGUCGAGUGGCGGACGGGUGAGUAAUGCUUGGGAAUCUGCCUUAUGGAGGGGGAUAACUACGGGAAACUGUAGCUAAUACCGCAUAAUAUCUUGGUUGAGAGAUUAAGAUUAAAGCGUGGGACCUUAGGGCCACGUACCAUAAGAUGAGCCCAAGUGGGAUUAGGUAGUUGGUGAGGUAAAGGCUCACCAAGCCGACGAUCUCUAGCUGGUUUGAGAGGAUGACCAGCCACACUGGAACUGAGACACGGUCCAGACUCCUACGGGAGGCAGCAGUGGGGAAUAUUGCACAAUGGGGGAAACCCUGAUGCAGCCAUGCCGCGUGAAUGAAGAAGGCUUUCGGGUUGUAAAGUUCUUUCAGUAGUGAGGAAGGGUGUAGUAUUAAUAGUGCUAUACAUUGACGUUAGCUACAGAAGAAGCACCGGCUAACUCC
rnacentral:rRNA from 1 species